rnacentral:rRNA from 1 species
UACCAAGGCAACGAUCAGUAGCCGACCUGAGAGGGCGACCGGCCACAUUGGGACUGAGACACGGCCCAAACUCCUACGGGAGGCAGCAGUGGGGAAUAUUGCACAAUGGGGGAAACCCUGAUGCAGCAACGCCGCGUGAGUGAUGAAGGUUUUCGGAUCGUAAAGCUCUGUCUUCAGGGACGAUAAUGACGGUACCUGAGGAGGAAGCCACGGCUAACUAC